rnacentral:rRNA from 1 species
GCUUACGGCCAUACCACCCUGAACAUGCCCGAUCUCGUCCGAUCUCGAAGCUAAGCAGGGUUGGGCUGGUUAGUACUUGGAUGGGAGACCACCUGGGAAUACCAGGUGCUGUAAGCU